GCUGAGCCCUUAGGUCCAGUGGAGCCGGUAGAGCCCUGCCCUCAGCCUGUGGAGACAGAGAUUGAGACCCUUGACAACAUCCGCAAAAAGCUGAAAAGUUGAGAGAUGGUGGAAGAUACCGUCUGUGUAUUUGUGUGUACUCCUUUGGAAAAUCAAGUGUUCCACCAUAGAUAAUACUAUCAGAGACUAGGAUAAUUGUUUAUUUUUCCAAGAUGGAAAUAUUAAUCAAUCAAUCACCAUGACAACUCUGGUGGUAAACCACAUGACUCCAGGGAGAAGAGGAAGGCAGAGUUUGAGACCUACCUGCGACACGAUGAACCGCUUCAACAAAGAUGUGGUGGAGGACACACACACAAGGUCCACCUCGAGUCUUUUAGCCAAUGGGAUGUUCCGGAAUUGGUCGUGUAUUGAACCUGCUGCCCACCCACUUUACCAUGGUGGCCAAGGAACACAUUGACACUAACUACCCCUCUGGCCUGCUCAACUGGCAAGAAGGGCCUUCAAUGUUUGGGGAAAUGUUCAUGCUCAACCCAGAUCUUCCCUGUGAGUAGAGGCUGGGACCACAGGCCGUGCUGAAGAGGAGGCUGGGCAGCCUCACUGCUAAAGACCACCAGGAAAUGACACUUGAGUGACAUGUAUCCAAAUUGAAGGCACCUUGCAGAAACUUUUGUGCAUGUUCGUCUGUUGCAUAUUCUUUUUUUCGCUGCGAAUGGAGUAUGUUUCUGAGGGAGGACCAUAUUCUUUUGAACAACUUGGGCUCUUAUGCUGUUUCUGUUGGUGCUUAGGUUGUUGCAGCUCUUGUCGACUGCUGCUCUCUCUGCAGCCCCUGUCACUGAAGCCCCCCCAUCAGCCAAGGGUACUGAAGGCUUUUGGGUCGUUCUACGAAAUGUGUGCAUUUUGCAUCCCUUUGAUAUUUUUAAGUAGAAAUUGUGCACCAAUAUUUGAUUUUAAAAGCCUUUUAUAUUACAUGACGUGCCCUUUAAUAGAGACCACAUGGAGUAUUCAAUAAAUCUGUUUUUUUUUUACAUGAAUAAAGACUUGCUAAAGUGCUAAAAUCCCGCAUUUUGAUGUGUCCCUCCGUGCACCCUCUGUGAAUAUAGGAAGAUUUUAACCCACUUAAUCCCAACAUUUUGAUGUGUCCCUCCGUGCACCCUCUGUGAAUCUAGGAAGAUUUUAACCCACUUAAUCCCAACAUUUUGAUGUGUCCCUCCGUGCACCCUCUGUGAAUCUAGGAAGAUUUUAACCCACUUAAUCCCAACAUUUUGAUGUGUCCCUCCGUGCACCCUCUGUGCAUCUAGGAAGAUUUUAACCCACUUAAUCCCAACAUUUUGAUGUGUCCCUCCAUGCACCCUCUGUGAAUCUAGGAAGAUUUUAACCCACUUAAUCCCAACAUUUCUCCAAGUUGUUGCCAUUAUUGUAAAGCCAUAGUUAUUUUGUUGCUUUGACAGUCAUUUCUUGAGCUUAAUAUUUAUUUAAUCUGAUUAGUGAUUGAUUUACAUCUGUCCCUCAUUUUAAGGUCAACUGUGAACUGAACUCUCAUUUUAAUGUGGUGAAGCUAUUCCUUUUAAAAUAUUUUUUAAACAUCUAAUAGUCAAACCAUAGUGUAAAAGCAGGUGAGCUGGUUCUACCCUUUUUUGGGGGGGGAACCAUGUUCUGAUGUUUUGUGGUGGGAAAAUGAGCAGGUCGAACAUAACAACCCUGUGUUACCCAUAGAUAGACAGGCUAGAAAUGUUUUAACGAUUCCAUUUUUUGGGUGAAACUUAGUUUCAAUUUCCCCUCCCUGUUGCACACAACAAUCUUCCAUUCCCCCUGGUCCCAAUGGGAUUUAUAUCUGUUUUAACGUUAAAUAGUCAACCCGUUAAUUUAUUUGGUACUUAAUAGGCACAUACUAUAAUCUUUUUACAUUUUUGAGAUGGGAACACAUUUAUUUAUGAAGUUGAAUAUGUGCUCUUAAUGAUAAAAUUAGGUGGAAUCAAAAGUUACUACUCAAAAGGUAUCCAAUUUGUGGAACAAACCUUUUAUUUAUUAGUGUGCUUAUGUUCAUUGCAGUUGUAUGUACAGUGCCUUGCGAAAGUAUUCGGCCCCCUUGAACUUUGCGACCUUUUGCCACAUUUCAGGCUUCAAACAUAAAGAUAUAAAACUGUAUUUUUUUGUGAAGAAUCAACAAGUGGGACACAAUCAUGAAGUGGAACGACAUUUAUUGGAUAUUUCUAACUUUUUUAACAAAUCAAAAACUGAAAAAUUGGGCGUGCAAAAUUCAGCCCCUUUACUUUCAGUGCAGCAAACUCUCUCCAGAAGUUCAGUGAGAAUCUCUGAAUGAUCCAAUGUUGACCUAAAUGACUAAUGAUGAUAAAUACAAUCCACCUGUGUGUAAUCAAGUCUCCGUAUAAAUGCACCUGCACUGUGAUAGUCUCAGAGGUCCGUUAAAAGCGUAGAGAGCAUCAUGAAGAACAAGGAACACACCAGGCAGGUCCGAGAUACUGUUGUGAAGAAGUUUAAAGCCGGAUUUGGAUACAAAAAUAUUUCCCAAGCUUUAAACAUCCCAAGGAGCACUGCAAGGGAUAAUAUUGAAAUGGAAGGAGUAUCAGACCACUGCAAAUCUACCAAGACCUGGCCGUCCCUCUAAACUUUCAGCUCAUACAAGGAGAAGACUGAUCA
rnacentral:lncRNA from 13 species